rnacentral:lncRNA from 1 species
CGGCGUGGGCUUUUAAGAGUUACUUGGAAAGGAAUUUGGCUUUAUCUGAGAGGCUCUUAACUUGACCAGUAAGUGCAUAAACUUGGGCCUUCAGCCCUUCAUUUUAGCUUUUAGAUCAUCAGAGGCACCUGGUCUCUUAGAGAAUAACUACUACAUCUUUGCCUUGAGCUGUAUAAUCUCAGCAUCUCUAGUAGCCGCAACCAUCCCC